AACGAACGCUGGCGGCAUGCCUAACACAUGCAAGUCGAACGAUCCCUUCGGGGAUAGUGGCGCACGGGUGCGUAACGCGUGGGAACCUGCCCUUAGGUUCGGAAUAACUGAGAGAAAUUUCAGCUAAUACCGGAUAAUGUCUUCGGACCAAAGAUUUAUCGCCUUUGGAUGGGCCCGCGUUGGAUUAGCUAGUUGGUGGGGUAAAGGCCUACCAAGGCGACGAUCCAUAGCUGGUCUGAGAGGAUGAUCAGCCACACUGGGACUGAGACACGGCCCAGACUCCUACGGGAGGCAGCAGUGGGGAAUAUUGGACAAUGGGGGAAACCCUGAUCCAGCAAUGCCGCGUGAGUGAUGAAGGCCUUAGGGUUGUAAAGCUCUUUUACCAGGGAUGAUAAUGACAGUACCUGGAGAAUAAGCUCCGGCUAACUCCGUGCCAGCAGCCGCGGUAAAAGUACGUACUAUACUCGUAGCGGGCGGUCGGUCGGAACGAACGGCGACUAGUAG
rnacentral:rRNA from 1 species